rnacentral:lncRNA from 1 species
AUUAAAAGCAAGCUAUAAGGAUGCAGAGAUCCCCAGAAGGGAUUGGGGAUAUUUUAUUGUUGCCAUUUAUCAAGAAGCUGAGGGCAACACUGUGGAUAACUGUAAAGAAUUGCACACAGUCAACAUUCACGUGUCCUUGGAGGAGGAUCCAUCUCUAGCCAAGUCUCAGAUAUAACCCAGUCACCACCAUGGUCUUCUAAGACUCUAGGAGAGGAUCUAACCAAAUAGUCCCUAAAAUUUGACCUGCAGGAGCUAGUAGGUAGCAAAUGGGUAUUGUUCUGCUUUUAAAGCUGUUCAAGUUUUUCAAUGCUAUUAUGCAGUGAUAGAUGCCUACUACAUUAUAUGGCUGUACUCUAAUCCCCCACAGGCCUUGCCUACAAUAUUGAAGUUCCUGUUUGCUUUGUGUCUCUCCUCUGGCCCUGAUGAUGAGACUUCUCUUUUCAUUCCGAGAAUCUUCUACAACAUGACCCAAACACCACAGGACUUUGUUGGUGUUUGGUACAGAACUGUGCUUUCUGGGCCCUUUGUCAACAUUGUUUCUUGACAAAAACCAUCAGUCCUGACCAGAAAGCUUGAACAGAAACUCACAUAGGCCCCUUGGGGGAGAGCGUCACUCAAACAGAAACCAACAACUGGGAAAGAGGACGAUACUUUGAAUGAGAGACUUGUAAGAGGUGAGUUCAAAUUGUGAAGAACACAAGCAUGCUUUAGCGA